UUGAGCUGACGAGUUUUAAAUAGGACGAAACGCGUGUCCUUCAU
rfam:Schistosoma curassoni strain Dakar, Senegal genome assembly, scaffold: SCTD_contig0030474